GUUGCUUCUUUCUGGUGAACUCUUCCAAUUGAAGUGGAAGAUGUUCAUGUUUCCGAAGCAUAGAUUGAUAUCCAGUAUUAAACAACACUGUGUAUUUCUUUCUGUGUAUUUUCAUAGUGUUACCUGUCUCCUGGUACAUUU